CAGUAGCCGCGGGAAUACGUAGGUCCCGAGCGUUGUCCGGAUUUAUUGGGCGUAAAGCGAGCGCAGGCGGUUAGAUAAGUCUGAAGUUAAAGGCUGUGGCUUAACCAUAGUACGCUUUGGAAACUGUUUAACUUGAGUGCAAGAGGGGGGAGUGGAAUUCCAUGUGUAGCGGUGAAAUGCGUAGAUAUAUGGAGGAACACCGGUGGCGAAAGCGGCUCUCUGGCUUGUAACUGACGCUGAGGCUCGAAAGCGUGGGGAGCAAACAGGAUUAGAUACCCCCGUAGUCCCUGUCUCUUAUACC
rnacentral:rRNA from 1 species